UUUAAAAAGUCUUCAGAGCUUUGUAAGAGCUCAUCAUAAUUUGCUGUU
rnacentral:tRNA from 4 species